AUAAUACAGCAAAUUCCCUUUAGAGUAAAUAACUGUAAUACCCUUUACAUCAUGGGAAUUUUCUGUGACGUCAGACCCCACAUACAGAGACUUCACUGUAUUUUAAAAAAUUGCUGUAUACUAUUGUAUUAGCUGUAACGGCCUCUUUGGCGCCAUUGUAUUGUGGUUGUUUUAUUUUCCUCAUUUCUUACAUUUGGAUUGACACGAUUUGCCCUGCUUGUCUAUAACGCCGCAACAGCUUGGGACUGACUGCACUGGACGUGCUACAUCGCUUUUCGUGUCAGAAACAGUGUGAGGGCUUGGAGUGCAUCUGUAUGUCACAAUUUAUAGCGGGGCAUCACUUUACUGUCCGCACCCACAUAGCAAGCACACUCGGGCCGAUUCUGGCUGAAAUGCGGCACUGUCAGCUCAGUCACGACGUCGGUGAGAAGAUAAUGAGCCAGAGCCGCGCCGACUCUACAAAACACUUCUGGCUGACAGACGGCUUUUUCUCUCUGGGCCGAUCUCGGCUGAAAGCUGUUGUACGUGCGGCAGGUCCGCACUCGGUGUACGUUAGUUGUGUGUAUCUACCAUCGGCUCGAGUUGGUUUUGUCUCCGGCGGCCGCUGCUAGAAUGAAGGAACUCAGCCGCUGAGAGAGAGAUUUGGCGGUUAAUCCUGAGGAGAUUUCGGCGGGCACAGUUCUCAAGAGGAAUACUUCAGCUCAGCUGCAAAAAGAAAUUCUGAGCUGCUGCAUGAACAUUCAUCAAACAUAUAAGGCUGCAAUUUGGAAAAAACUUUCAAUGCUGCUGCAAUGGAGGUCAAGGGGACUGAAGAGGUGGCUCCAGCUGAUCAAAAGGGUGGACUUCAGGAGGCAGACACACUCUGUUACAAUAAUCAGCUGAUCCAGCAGUAUCCAGACCAGACGGUGGACCUGCACCCAGGAACAACCACAACACAUCCCUGAAUGUCAGCGGAGACCAUGUCAGCUAGAUGACAGAUCCCUGUGAAGACCUCACUGAUGGCCCCAGCACAGAUCCUCAGCAAAGACUACGAGAACCAGACAAGCCCUCUGCGCAGACCCUUUUUACCAGCUUCACCUGCUGGCGUGAUAUUACUUCAUGCAGAAGAAGUUGGAUGAAAUAUUCUGAAUGAUAUCAAUCCACAAUCUGACUUGUGAUGCAGCCUGGAAUAAUCACACCAUGUUCAUUCAUUUGGCCAGACGAGACUGUUUCCUGACUGAGCCGGGUCUUGCUUGGGUUCCUUGUCACUGUUGCCUUUUGUCUUGCUUGGUUGAAGACACCUAAUAUUCAGCAAUAUUAUUGACUUGUCUGUACUGACACCAUUUGAUAAGAAUUGAACUGAAUUAUGACACAUAAUGUUUU